rnacentral:rRNA from 1 species
UACGAAGGGGGCGAGCGUUGUUCGGAAUUACUGGGCGUAAAGGGCGCGUAGGCGGGCUGUCAAGUCUGGGGUGAAAUGCCGCGGCUCAACCGUGGAACUGCCUUAGAUACUGACGGCCUCGAGGAAGGUAGGGGCAUGCGGAACUGUAGGUGGAGCGGUGAAAUGCGUUGAUAUCUACAGGAACUCCGGUGGCGAAAGCGGCGUGCUGGACCUUUUCUGACGCUGAGGCGCGAAAGCUAGGGGAGCAAACGGG